rnacentral:rRNA from 1 species
UACGAAGGGGGCUAGCGUUGCUCGGAAUCACUGGGCGUAAAGCGCACGUAGGCGGAUCUUUAAGUCAGGGGUGAAACCCCAAGGCUCAACCUUGGAACUGCCUUUGAUACUGGGGAUCUCGAGUCCGGAAGAGGUGAGUGGAACUGCGAGUGUAGAGGUGAAAUUCGUAGAUAUUCGGAAGAACACCAGUGGCGAAGGCGGCUCACUGGACCGGCAUUGACGCUGAUGUGCGAAAGCGUGGGGAGCAAACAGG